AACAAAGAGGUUUUGCUUUCACACCAAAACACACAGCAUCUCCGCGACAUGCGCCAAACAACUCACUGAAGCCCCACCUUCUUUUUCACGCCUGACUUUGGGCAGGAUUAUGCUGAUAGUGCACGCUGUGACGUAGCGAAAUUAUGGAAGUAAGGUCUGGACUGGAUUAUGGAAGUAAGGUCUGGACUGGAUUAUGGAAGUAAUAUCUGGACUGGAUUAUGGACGUAAUAUCUGGACUGGAUUAUGGAAGUAAGGUCUGGACUGGAUUAUGGAAGUAAUAUCUGGACUGGAUUAUGGACGUAAUAUCUGGACUAGAUUAUGGAAGUAAGGGCUGGACUGGAUUAUGGAAGAAAGGUCUGAAGCAGUGCUCUCUGUUAAAUAAAAUAAAUCCCUUUGGGGAGACUAUGAGCUUUGUGACUUUGCACAUUUUAUACAUGCACAAACACAUACAUUACACAUUUAAUUCUUUAUAACUUUAAUUCUCUAUAACAGAAGCUCUUACAGUAGCACAGGUUUAUAUUAACGCACUCAUUCUAAUACAUUAUCAUUUCUAUAGUAACCACUCAUUCACAGGGAUGUGUACAGCGCACGCUCCACAAAAACGGAUUUAAAAAUGUGUGAAAUCAUUGAUAUGGUGAAGUUUUCUGUUAGGAGAUGUUUAUGUAAUAUUUAUUGAAGGAGUCUCCAGUGUCAGCACUGUGUAACAGUCAGAGGGAAAGCUGAAUGUUUUCCCAUAUCAUCAGCACAGAGGAGUUUACACUUAUGUAACAUGACAAGCAGAGAGAGAGAGAUAUUUCACCAACAUUCCACAACAUUAAAUGUAACUAUAAAUGUAUAAAUAGUAUAUAAUGCUGUUCUUUAAUAAAUAAACAAAUCUAUAAUUGUUGGUAAACUGCUAUGGGGUUAGAGGAAUAAAAUACUUGGGGACGUGCUGUUAUGUUAAAAUAAUCAACUUCAGGGUGGUGACAGUAACUCAUCUAACUGCUAACAUCUUCUUCACACCACUAAUCUAACUUAAUGCUUGUAACUGUAUAGCCAAAUGAUUUCCCACAAUUCACUGCAGUGUGACAUCACAAUCCCACACCUCCACUGUGGACUCCUUUUUCUGAAGCAAGAGGAAGCUGCUCUGAUAUUCUCUUCUCUCUCUCUCUCUCUCUCUCUCUCUCUCUCUCUCUCUCUCUCUCUCUCACACACACACACACACACACACACAC
ensembl:lncRNA